rnacentral:rRNA from 1 species
UACGUAGGGAGCAAGCGUUGUUCGGAUUUACUGGGCGUAAAGAGCUCGUAGGCGGUUUCGUAAGUCGGAUGUGAAAACUCCAGGCUCAACUUGGAGACGCCAUUCGAUACUGCGAUGACUUGAGUCCGGUAGGGGAGUGUGGAAUUCCUGGUGUAGCGGUGAAAUGCGCAGAUAUCAGGAGGAACACCGGCGGCGAAGGCGGCACUCUGGGCCGGUACUGACGCUGAGGAGCGAAAGCGUGGGUAGCAAACAGG